AAUAGUCAUAAAGAGGAAACAGCAGCAUGGCCCAAGGCAGCACAUGACCAGUCACCGAGGGCGACCCAGAUCCAGGCGAAAGUGCCCAUCUCCCCUACACAAAUGUCGGGCGCUCUUCAUAGUUGAAGAACUACGAAACACAGGAUGCUGGGAACUUUCUCCGGCGCGUGAGGGAGACCCAUGUUUGCAGCCCGAAAGGGAUUAAAGAAGAUACAAAAGACCAUUUGUUCCGGUGGUCGGUCCAGGUAUGAAACACAGCUCAUCCCUAGACACAACGCCGUCCCAUCGGCAGCAAUCCUGCGCCUCACAUCAAAUUCAUCCAUCGCUGCCAGUCCACUUAGUUUCAACACUCUCAGAAAGCACUAAUGGAGCCUGACAUAUAACAAGAGCAAUGAAAGCGAGAGCAAGCCCCAUUCAGACACAAGGCAGCAGUACAGUAGCAAGGAAAGAAGGAACAGGUGGUCAUUUUGUUCCCCAAUAUAGUGCCUGCACCUGACAACUGCCCGUUCUCAGCAAGACCUCGAAGAUCACAUGGGGACAAACGAAGGCCUGAAUGGCUAUGCUUAUAGAACCAAGGAAUGACCGGGACUUGAAAAACUCUGCAACUGAGAUAAAUGUAUGGAGAAGACAGUCCUUUUCCAUUUGUUGCUCUGGGCAGUAGUCCUUGGAGGUGGAGGAGGGAAGUGUGGAGGAGAGGAAGACCAGCUGCCGAAGAAAUCCACCCACCCUCUGUGCUGCUCUCAGAGUCAGGGUGUGCAGACCUCCACGUGGGUCUCCCUAGUUCCUAGCAAAACUGCCCCAUGGUAAGCCUCCCCCUCAGGCAGCUCUCCCGAGUUCUAGGAAUAACCAUUGCUGGGCAUCAAAAGAACAUUGCCAAGGUCUUUCAGACUUCCAAGGCCCCACCUUCCGCUAAUUUCAUUUCCAAAUAUGUCAUUCUUAGUUAAGCACAAGGAUCAUUCCCAAAUGUCUUAACACGCGGCAAAAUGACAUUUACAAAAAUGCUCCUGAACCAAGGAAGAAUUUCUUUCUCAUUCUUUACCUAGUGUUAAGGAAAGUAUCAGGCAUGGCUCCUCCAGCUUUACGUGGAUCAGUCCACUCCCUCCUCCCGGGGAGGUGAGUACUACUGUGAAGUUCAUUUUACAGCAGAGACUUAAACGCCCACGGUCACGCGGCUACAGAAUGAGAGGGGACUGGAAUGUCAACCCCAGAAGGCUGGCCAGUCACAGGGCUUAUGUCACUGUGGUUCAGCCCUCUCGUCCAUCCUGCCCAAGGACAAGUGGGGUCAGAAAGAUUUCCUGUGACGAAUGCCACCUAUUCGUUCAAAGAAGCAGUAGAAAUAUGUCAUUCUCCGACCUGUUCAGGUACAGAGUUAAAAGUUCCAGUAAGAAUGAAAGCAU